UACAGAGGGGGCAAGCGUUGUUCGGAAUUACUGGGCGUAAAGGGCGCGUAGGCGGCCUUCUAAGUCGAACGUGAAAUCCCCGGGCUCAACCCGGGAACUGCGUCCGAUACUGGAAGGCUUGAAUCCGGGAGAGGGAUGCGGAAUUCCAGGUGUAGCGGUGAAAUGCGUAGAUAUCUGGAGGAACACCGGUGGCGAAGGCGGCAUCCUGGACCGGCAUUGACGCGGAGGCGCGAAAGCCAGGGGAGCAAACGGG
rnacentral:rRNA from 1 species